rnacentral:rRNA from 1 species
GACGAACGCUGGCGGCGUGCCUAAUACAUGCAAGUCGAGCGAAGUUUUUCUGGUGCUUGCACUAGAAAAACUUAGCGGCGAACGGGUGAGUAACACGUAAAGAACCUGCCUCAUAGACUGGGACAACUAUUGGAAACGAUAGCUAAUACCGGAUAACAGUAUUUCUCGCAUGAGAGAUAUUUAAAAGUUGGUUAUGCUAACACUAUGAGAUGGCUUUGCGGUGCAUUAGCUAGUUGGUGGGGUAAAGGCCCACCAAGGCGACGAUGCAUAGCCGACCUGAGAGGGUGAUCGGCCACACUGGGACUGAGACACGGCCCAGACUCCUACGGGAGGCAGCAGUAGGGAAUCUUCCGCAAUGGGCGAAAGCCUGACGGAGCAACGCCGCGUGAGUGAAGAAGGAUUUCGGUUCGUAAAGCUCUGUUGUUAGGGAAGAAUGGAUAUGUAGUAACUAUACAUAUAAGAGACGGUACCUAACCA